GAUGAACGCUGGCGGCGUGCCUAAUACAUGCAAGUCGAGCGAACGGACGAGAAGCUUGCUUCUCUGAUGUUAGCGGCGGACGGGUGAGUAACACGUGGAUAACCUACCUAUAAGACUGGGAUAACUUCGGGAAACCGGAGCUAAUACCGGAUAAUAUUUUGAACCGCAUGGUUCAAAAGUGAAAGACGGUCUUGCGGUCACUUAUAGAUGGAUCCGCGCUGCAUUAGCUAGUUGGUAAGGUAACGGCUUACCAAGGCAACGAUGCAUAGCCGACCUGAGAGGGUGAUCGGCCACACUGGAACUGAGACACGGUCCAGACUCCUACGGGAGGCAGCAGUAGGGAAUCUUCCGCAAUGGGCGAAAGCCUGACGGAGCAACGCCGCGUGAGUGAUGAAGGUCUUCGGAUCGUAAAACUCUGUUAUUAGGGAAGAACAUAUGUGUAAGUAACUGUGCACAUCUUGACGGUACCUAAUCAGAAAGCCACGGCUAACUACGUGCCAGCAGCCGCGGUAAUACGUAGGUGGCAAGCGUUAUCCGGAAUUAUUGGGCGUAAAGCGCGCGUAGGCGGUUUUUUAAGUCUGAUGUGAAAGCCCACGGCUCAACCGUGGAGGGUCAUUGGAAACUGGAAAACUUGAGUGCAGAAGAGGAAAGUGGAAUUCCAUGUGUAGCGGUGAAAUGCGCAGAGAUAUGGAGGAACACCAGUGGCGAAGGCGACUUUCUGGUCUGUAACUGACGCUGAUGUGCGAAAGCGUGGGGAUCAAACAGGAUUAGAUACCCUGGUAGUCCACGCCGUAAACGAUGAGUGCUAAGUGUUAGGGGGUUUCCGCCCCUUAGUGCUGCAGCUAACGCAUUAAGCACUCCGCCUGGGGAGUACGACCGCAAGGUUGAAACUCAAAGGAAUUGACGGGGACCCGCACAAGCGGUGGAGCAUGUGGUUUAAUUCGAAGCAACGCGAAGAACCUUACCAAAUCUUGACAUCCUUUGACAACUCUAGAGAUAGAGCCUUCCCCUUCGGGGGACAAAGUGACAGGUGGUGCAUGGUUGUCGUCAGCUCGUGUCGUGAGAUGUUGGGUUAAGUCCCGCAACGAGCGCAACCCUUAAGCUUAGUUGCCAUCAUUAAGUUGGGCACUCUAAGUUGACUGCCGGUGACAAACCGGAGGAAGGUGGGGAUGACGUCAAAUCAUCAUGCCCCUUAUGAUUUGGGCUACACACGUGCUACAAUGGACAAUACAAAGGGCAGCGAAACCGCGAGGUCAAGCAAAUCCCAUAAAGUUGUUCUCAGUUCGGAUUGUAGUCUGCAACUCGACUACAUGAAGCUGGAAUCGCUAGUAAUCGUAGAUCAGCAUGCUACGGUGAAUACGUUCCCGGGUCU
rnacentral:rRNA from 1 species